CUUAUUGAAUCUUCGUAUUUUUACUAGUAUAAUUUUCGAAGAAAUUCUUCCAGUAAUUUAAGAAAGACUAGUUUGAAACAUUUCAUCGUCACCGAUUGAAACAUCUUCGUGUGCAACGUACUUAAUCAUCGAUCAAAUGAGAUAAACAAGUUGAUGGUGUGAAGCUACCUUAAAACAUAUUACCUCCACCUUCUUCUCUUUAGUUUCUUAUAUUACUUUCACUGGAGGACUAUCCUCUCAGUCAGUUAACUGUCUAUUCGCUAAGAUAAGAAAUAUUCUCAUAAGUUUUUUUCAUGCUAUCGAUUUAAAAAAAGAUGAAGAGUUUGAUCGUAAGUAUCGUCUUCGUUUUAUCGACUUCCUGUCUCGGAGAGAUCUCACACAUUUUGCCAGAAUAUUCGACAACUACCAGCACAGUACUACCACCUCCACAACCAUACAGUUUUCAAUACAAAGCUGGGCGAUAUCCAGGACACGUUGAUCGAAUUCAUCAAGAAUCCGGAGAUGGUUCUGGAACUAUUUAUGGAUCUUAUUCGUUCAUCGAUCCUAAAUAUAAAGUACGAAGAGUAGAAUAUGUAGCUGAUAAAAAUGGAUUUCAUCCAUCGUUGAUAAAUUACGACGAUACGCUUAAACAGCCUGUUGAUUCUGAAGCUGUGAAACUCGCGAAAGAAAAACAUUUGCAACUUUACAAAAAAUUAGCUGAAGCUAAUGCACAGGAUAUACAAAUAAAUAUACCAAAGGAUUCUGUCAGUGUAUUAAAAGCGAAGGACAAACAUUUACAACUCUACCAGAAGAUUGCCGAAGAACACGCGGCUAUCGCAUCUCAAAGAAAAGCAGAACGUGCAGCGUAUGAAGCAACUUCGAUCGUUAAUGACGUUAAUGAACAUCAAACAUAUUAAAAAAUACUAAUAAGAAAGAAAAAUUGUUCAUAUAAUGUCAAUAAUAUAAAUUUAACCGUAUAAAAUCUUUCGAAAUUUAAAAGCAAAAGUUUUUACUCGAUCCAAAUUUGAUAAAAAACGAAUAAUAGAUUAUAAUUGAUAUAUAAAACACGUGUUAUUAAUUAUAAAAAACACGUGAAUCACAUACAUAUGAGUACCAUUUUUGUAUGAGUAUCGGAAGUUUCUAUAUAUAUUAAAAAAAAGAUAAAUGCUAUAAUUACACUGUGUUGGUAUAAAAGUCUAGGCGUGACAAAAAAUAAAAUUGUCACUAUUUGUAUCUCCGAAAAGAUGAAGUUCUACGGUUUUUGGUUACUUCUUAUUGUUGUAUUCUGUAUUACGAUUGCUGUGGGUAGGAACAUUGAUUGUACCAAAAAUGCAUUUUUAAAAUCUAAAAGCAUCGCUUGUCGAGGAGGAGGUUGGACAGGAGGAAAUAAUGGAGGAGGGGAAGAAGGCAGUGGAACAAACGGAGGUGCUACUGAUGGUGCAACAGGAGCUACGCCUAACAUGGCAUCUAAUUUAAUGCGCACUGCACAACAAGCAAUGGAUUCCAUGAUGAAUAUGAUGUCAAAUAUGAAUCCAAUGGGGUAAAUCAUAUAUUUGUUUGAAAUUAUUGCACCAUGUAUUAGAUAAUCGAACUUGCAAACAUAGUAAUAUUAUAGAUACUUUAUAAUCAUUAUGUUCAUGAUCAAAAAUGCUUUUUGUAGUUAUUAAAAAUAUUACUAUUAAAUAAUAAAAUAAUAAUUAAUGAAUAC